GAUGAAGAACGUAGUGAAAUGCGAUAAGUAAUGUGAAUUGCAGAAUUCAGUGAAUCAUCGAGUCUUUGAACGCACAUUGCGCCCCCUGGUAUUCCGGGGGGCAUGCCUGUCCGAGCGUCAUUGCUGCCCUCAAGCACGGCUUGUGUGUUGGGCUCCGUCCCCCCGGGGACGGGUCCGAAAGGCAGCGGCGGCACCGAGUCCGGUCCUCGAGCGUAUGGGGCUUUGUCACCCGCUCUGUAGGCCCGGCCGGCGCCAGCCGACAACCAAUCAUCCUUUUUUCAGGUUGACCUCGGAUCAGGUAGGGAUACCCGCUGAACUUAAGCAUAUCAAUAAGCGGAGGA
rnacentral:misc_RNA from 1 species